rnacentral:rRNA from 1 species
GAUGAACGCUGGCGGCGUGCCUAAUACAUGCAAGUCGAGCGAAUGGAUUAAGAGCUUGCUCUUAUGAAGUUAGCGGCGGACGGGUGAGUAACACGUGGGUAACCUGCCCAUAAGACUGGGAUAACUCCGGGAAACCGGGGCUAAUACCGGAUAACAUUUUGAACCGCAUGGUUCGAAAUUGAAAGGCGGCUUCGGCUGUCACUUAUGGAUGGACCCGCGUCGCAUUAGCUAGUUGGUGAGGUACGGCUCACCAAGGCAACGAUGCGUAGCCGACCUGGGAGGGUGAUCGGCCACACUGGGACUGAGACACGGCCCAGACUCCUACGGGAGGCAGCAGUAGGGAAUCUUCCGCAAUGGACGAAAGUCUGACGGAGCAACGCCGCGUGAGUGAUGAAGGCUUUCGGGUCGUAAAACUCUGUUGUUAGGGAAGAACAAGUGCUAGUUGAAUAAGCUGGCACCUUGACGGUACCUAACCAGAAAGCCACGGCUAACUACGUGCCAGCAGCCGAGGUAA